rnacentral:rRNA from 1 species
UACGUAGGAUCCAAGCGUUGUCCGGAUUUACUGGGUGUAAAGGGUGCGCAGGCGGACUUAUAAGUCAGUGGUGAAAUCUCACGGCUCAACCGUGAAACUGCCUUUGAUACUGUAGGUCUUGAAUUAGGGAGAGAUUCGUGGAAUUCCGAGUGUAGCAGUGGAAUGUGUAGAUAUUCGGAAGAACACCAGUGGCGAAGGCAGCGAAUUGGCCCUAUAUUGACGCUCAGGCACGAAAGCAUGGGGAUCAAACAGG